rnacentral:sRNA from 1 species
UUCAAUUGUCCAUCGUUUGUCA